UACGUAGGUGGCAAGCGUUGUCCGGAUUUAUUGGGUUUAAAGGGUGCGUAGGCGGUCCCAUAAGUCAGUGGUGAAAUACUCUAGCUUAACUAGAGGGGUGCCAUUGAUACGUGCGGGACUGAGUUGGAGUUGGAAGGUGGGCGGAAUUGGACGGUGUAGCGGUGAAAUGACUUAGAUAUCGUCAAGAACACCGAUAGUGAAGACAGCUCACUAAGCUCAAACUGACGCUGAGGCACGAAAGUGUGGGGAUCAAACAGG
rnacentral:rRNA from 1 species